AUACAUGCAAGUCGAGCGGACAGAUGGGAGCUUGCUCCCUGAUGUUAGCGGCGGACGGGUGAGUAACACGUGGGUAACCUGCCUGUAAGACUGGGAUAACUCCGGGAAACCGGGGCUAAUACCGGAUGCUUGUUUGAACCGCAUGGUUCAAACAUAAAAGGUGGCUUCGGCUACCACUUACAGAUGGACCCGCGGCGCAUUAGCUAGUUGGUGAGGUAACGGCUCACCAAGGCAACGAUGCGUAGCCGACCUGAGAGGGUGAUCGGCCACACUGGGACUGAGACACGGCCCAGACUCCUACGGGAGGCAGCAGUAGGGAAUCUUCCGCAAUGGACGAAAGUCUGACGGAGCAACGCCGCGUGAGUGAUGAAGGUUUUCGGAUCGUAAAGCUCUGUUGUUAGGGAAGAACAAGUACCGUUCGAAUAGGGCGGUACCUUGACGGUACCUAACCAGAAAGCCACGGCUAACUACGUGCCAGCAGCCGCGGUAAUACGUAGGUGGCAAGCGUUGUCCGGAAUUAUUGGGCGUAAAGGGCUCGCAGGCGGUUUCUUAAGUCUGAUGUGAAAGCCCCCGGCUCAACCGCGGAGGGUCAUUGGAAAACUGGGGAACUUGAGUGCAAAAAGG
rnacentral:rRNA from 1 species